UUUUGGUGCUUUUUCUCCAACGAAACGAACCGUUUUGAUUCAAGUUUAGAUUUCCUCUUUAAUUUAUCCAUAAACGCCUCCGCUGCGGCUUAGCUUCGCCGACUAAGCUAUCGCAGCCUCCGGCAAGCUCCUCGAUCAGCUCCGAUCUGCUUUUCGUCAACUGUAUCCUCAGCAUUUAGAGAGAGCUCUGGAAGAAUGUGACAAUGAUUUACAUUGUGCAAUCAAGAAGCUGAAUAACUCUUUCCUUAGGAAUAGCUGAGAAAAAGUUGGACUCUCUGGAAGAAUUAUAUGCCAGUGAUAAUCAAGGUAAUAUUGCCAUGGUUGAAAAUGCUGUUGCUUUAGACAGUCCAUUAGAGCCAAACAAGCUUCCAGUUGAUGGUACAGAACAGGUGGACUUGUUUAUGACAGAAAAGAUGAGUGCUUAUUAAUAUGGAUGAUGCCAAAGCCUGUGUUUCAAGAGUGCUGGAGAUUUUAGAGAAAUCCAUUAUGGCACGUACUGCUGAUGAGGUAGCACAAAUAUUUCAGAAGACUAAUGAGAAGCGGUUCAAUGCUUUCUUUUUGGAUUUCCAAGAAUUUAUUGCCUUGUUUUGCCGCAUUUUCACCUUCAAAUCAGUUCCUCACAUCAUAUCAAAUCCUGAGAGUCUUCUGACUGAAAUUUCAAGAAUAUCCAAGAAUGUUGGAAGCAUUGUCAUAGAAUAAUAAACUUCAUCUUAGAAGAAUCAAAGGUAAAUCCUUUCUUGGACCUAUGCAAUUCUUAAGAAUUUACUGUUGAAGUCAUCUAAGCAAUUGUCAAACUUGCUAGGAUAGAUGGCAUCUGUGUGGUGUGUAUCUUACUUGUGGCACCCUCAAGGACAGUUGGAGCAUUUAUCGGUAAAACAAUAGUACUGGUAGGCUGUUUAUACUGCUAUCCUCUGAGAAAUCUAGGGCAUUUUUAGUGAGUGGCAGAUGUAUUGGGAUAAUUGGGGAAUAGUUGAGUAUGAUGGAUGCCAAGCUAUAUAAGAAGAUUAUCUUUUAAAGAGAAUCACUCAGCCACGUUGAAACUAAUAGCAGAAGGUGUAUGUGAAAAAGAAGAGAGAAGAGUACUGUGGAAUUUGUAGAAACUCUUUAACCGCAUGAAGCAGUUGAAAGGUCAUAACAGGAACACCAAAUAUAUCUCUCAAUGAUUCUGAGAUAGUAAGAAAUGAUAAUGUGUAAAUUUUUGUUAAAUAGAAAGUGUUGGAGCUGAUGUAGUUGAAUGUGCAUGCGUUAUUGGAUCGCUUGAGAUUCAGCCUGCUCAAAUGUUAGCAUUUUUGCAGGGACAUAACAGGCCAAGUGGAACACCAUUGUACUGUUAAGAUUCCAAGUAUAAGAGUCAUUACCAUGUCUCCCAGUUGCAAUUGUGUGUUGGGGGUGGUAACGCUGGCAUUGUAGUGUUUGCCUGGGGCUAGUAGAAAGCUAGUGCACAACCAAUCCGCUUGGACGUCGGGGUUGUGGAGCGUGAUGGUAUGUUAGGAUCUCAAAUGCAAGGUAUGAGAAUUGGAUCCUACAUUGAAAAGUAUGAGCAACUAGUGUAGGGUUUAUAUGACUUUGGGUUCUCCCAUCUCGAUAGCUAACUUUUGAUGUGCGAUUCUCUUAAGGUUUGUAUCAUGUACAUACUUAUCAAGCCUAGCCGGUAAAGCAAGAUUGUAACACAAAGGAACCGGGUAAACUGGGACUUUGUUUUUCUGGCUCUAAAAAUCAGUGAUUAAGGGGAAGUCCUUACUGAUUUUUUUGUGUGUAAGGUGUCAUUAGAUAUGAAAUUUUGGUGUAUAUGAUAAAUAAUGCAUUCUUAAUUGUCCA